CCUACGGGGGGCUGCAGUAAGGAAUAUUGGUCAAUGGGCGCAAGCCUGAACCAGCCACGCCGCGUGAAGGAAGACGGCCCUCUGGGUUGUAAACUUCUUUUGUAUGGGGAUAAACCUCAGGACGUGUCCUGAGCUGAAGGUACUAUACGAAUAAGGAUCGGCUAACUCCGUGCCAGCAGCCGCGGUAAUACGGAGGAUCCAAGCGUUAUCCGGAUUUAUUGGGUUUAAAGGGUGCGUAGGUGGAAGAGUAAGUCAGAGGUGAAAGCUAGCAGCUU
rnacentral:rRNA from 1 species